GAUGAACGCUAGCGGCAGGCUUAACACAUGCAAGUCGAGGGGUAUAGUUCUUCGGAGCUAGAGACCGGCGCACGGGUGCGUAACGCGUAUGCAAUCUACCUUUUGCAGAGGGAUAGCCCAGAGAAAUUUGGAUUAAUACCCCACGGUAUGUGAGAAUGGCAUCAUUUUCACAUUAAAGUCACAACGGCCAAAGAUGAGCAUGCGUCCCAUUAGCUAGUGGGUAAGGUAACGGCUUACCAAGGCAACGAUGGGUAGGGGUCCUGAGAGGGAGAUCCCCCACACUGGUACUGAGACACGGACCAGACUCCUACGGGAGGCAGCAGUGAGGAAUAUUGGACAAUGGGCGCAAGCCUGAUCCAGCCAUGCCGCGUGCAGGAUGACGGUCCUAUGGAUUGUAAACUGCUUUUGUACAGGAAGAAACACUGGUUCGUGAACCAGCUUGACGGUACUGUAAGAAUAAGGAUCGGCUAACUCCGUGCCAGCCGCCGCCGUAAAAC
rnacentral:rRNA from 1 species